CAUCAACGCUGGCGGCGUGCCUCAGACAUGCAGGUCGAACGAUUAAAGCUCUCUUCGGAGAGUGCAUAGAGUGGCGCACGGGUGAGUAACACGUAAGUAAUCUACCUUCGAGUGGGGAAUAACGUCCGGAAACGGACGCUAAUACCGCAUAAUGCAGCGGCAUCGCAAGAUGACAGUUGUUAAAGAUUUAUCGCUUGAAGAGGAGCUUGCGGCAGAUUAGCUAGUUGGUAAGGUAAUGGCUUACCAAGGCUACGAUCUGUAACCGGUCUUAGAGGACGGUCGGUCACACUGACACUGAAUAACGGGUCAGACUCCUACGGGAGGCAGCAGUCGGGAAUUUUGGGCAAUGGGCGAAAGCCUGACCCAGCAACGCCGCGUGAAGGAUGAAGUAUUUCGGUAUGUAAACUUCGAAAGAAUGGGAAGAAUAAAUGACGGUACCAUUUAUAAGGUCCGGCUAACUACGUGCCAGCCGCCGCAGUAACAC
rnacentral:rRNA from 1 species